UACGUAGGGAGCAAGCGUUGUCCGGAAUCAUUGGGCGUAAGGCGCGCGUAGGUGGCCUCGUAAGUCCGCUGUGAAAGUCAAAGGCUCAACCUUUGAAAGCCGGUGGAUACUGUGAGGCUAGAGUACGGAAGAGGCGAGUGGAAUUCCUGGUGUAGCGGUGGAAUGCGCAGAUAUCAGGAGGAACACCAAUAGCGAAGGCAGCUCGCUGGGACGUAACUGACACUGAGGCGCGAAAGCGUGGGGAGCGAACAGG
rnacentral:rRNA from 1 species